rnacentral:rRNA from 1 species
CCCUUAGAUGUUCUGGGCCGCACACGCGCUACACUGGCAGGUUCAUCGAGCUUCAUGCCCUGAUCUGAGAAGAACGGGAAAUCUUUGAACACCUGCCGUGCUUGGGAUAGAUGUUUGCAAUUAUUCAUCUUCAACGAGGAUUGCCUUGUAAGCGCACGUCAUCAGCGUGCAUUGAAUACGACCCUGUAUUCUGUACACACCGCCCGUCGCUCCUACCGAUUGAAGUUUUCGGUUAAUUUACUGGAGAUCCCUUUUGAAGGUGGUUCGCCACUGGAAGAAGUAUUCAAAAGUAAAUGAAUCGAAUGCUUUAGAGGAAGGAGAAGUCGUAACA